UUGCGCAUGGGCGAAAGCCUGNGCAGCAACGCCGCGUGAGGGAUGAAGGCCUUCGGGUUGUAAACCUCUUUCGAGCAGGGACGAUAAUGACGGUACCUGCAGAAGAAGCUCCGGCCAACUACGUGCCAGCAGCCGCGGUAAUACGUAGGGAGCGAGCGUUGUCCGGAUUCAUUGGGCGUAAAGAGCUCGUAGGCGGCUUGAUAAGUCGGAUGUGAAACCUCCAGGCUCAACCUGGAGUCGCCAUCCGAUACUGUCAUGGCUAGAGUCCGGUAGGGGCCCACGGAACUCCUGGUGUAGCGGUGAAAUGCGCAGGUAUCAGGAAGAACACCGGUGGCGAAGGCGGUGGGCUGGGCCGGCACUGACGCUGAGGAGCGAAAGCGUGGGGAGCGAACAGGAUUAGAUACCCUGGUAGUCCACGCCGUAAACGUUGGGCACUAGGUGUGGGACCUUGUCAACGGGUUCCGUGCCGUAGCUAACGCAUUAAGUGCCCCGCCUGGGGAGUACGGCCGCAAGGCUAAAACUCAAAAAAAUUGACGGA
rnacentral:rRNA from 1 species